rnacentral:rRNA from 1 species
UUGAAAGGGAAACGAUUGAAGUCAGUCAUGCCAGUGGGAAUCAACUUAGGGGAAACUCUGGGUGCACUUCUUCGCUUGGCAGGUCAACGUCGAUUUUGAAUGUCAUAAAAUAAUUGGGGGAAGGUAGCUCCUUCGGGAGUGUUAUAGCCCUUGAUAGAUGUGAUGUUUGGGGUCGAGGAUUGCAACGGAUACCUUCGGGGCCAGCCGCCUGAUCUCUAAUUGGUGUUGGGUUACGGAUAGCAUGCUGACCGUGAUCUAAUUACUGGUUAAAAGGUUAGAACGUGUAUAAAUUCGUUAAGGAUGUUGACGUA